AAAAGAAACCAACAGGGAUUGCCCCAGUAACGGCGAGUGAAGCGGCAACAGCUCAAAUUUGAAAUCUGGCCCCCGGGUCCGAGUUGUAAUUUGCAGAGGAUGCUUCGGGCGAGGUGCCUUCCGAGUUCCCUGGAACGGGACGCCACAGAGGGUGAGAGCCCCGUCUGGUCGGACACCGAGCCCGUGUGAAGCUCCUUCGAAGAGUCGAGUAGUUUGGGAAUGCUGCUCAAAAUGGGAGGUAUAUGUCUUCUAAAGCUAAAUAUUGGCCAGAGACCGAUAGCGCACAAGUAGAGUGAUCGAAAGAUGAAAAGCACUUUGAAAAGAGGGUUAAAAAGUACGUGAAAUUGUUGAAAGGGAAGCGCCCAUGACCAGACUUGGGCCCGGUGAAUCACCCGGCGUUCUCGCCGGUGCACUUUGCCGGGCACAGGCCAGCAUCAGUUUGGCGCGGGGGACAAAGGCUUCGGGAACGUGGCUCCCUCGGGAGUGUUAUAGCCCGCUGCGUAAUACCCUGCGCCGGACUGAGGUACGCGCAUCGCAAGGAUGCUGGCGUAAUGGUCAUCAGCGACCCGUCUUGAAACACGGACCAAGGAGUCGUCUUCGUAUGCGAGUGUUCGGGUGUCAAACCCCUACGCGGAAUGAAAGUGAACGCAGGUGAGAGCUUCGGCGCAUCAUCGACCGAUCCUGAUGUUCUCGGAUGGAUUUGAGUAAGAGCAUACGGGGCCGGACCCGAAAGAAGGUGAACUAUGCCUGUAUAGGGUGAAGCCAGAGGAAACUCUGGUGGAAGCUCGCAGCGGUUCUGACGUGCGAAUCGAUCGUCAAAUAUGGGCAUGGGGGCGAAAGACUAAUCGA
rnacentral:rRNA from 1 species